AAGGCCUCAACAGCCCGUACAAAAGAAGACAAGCUCUAAAAGAUAUGCACAACUCCAAUGCCGCUAUAGUAUGCCUCCAAGAAACUCAUUUUUGUAAAAAGAACCCUCCUAAUCUACGAUCCUCCAAAUACCCCUUAGCUUAUCAUGCUUAUGCGCCAAACAAAUCCAAAGGUGUAGCCAUCCUACUACAUGCAGACUGGGUAUUCACCCCUACCAAACAACAUGUUGACCCAAAUGGGAGAUUGCUAAUCAUAGUGGGAGACCUCAACGGGAUUCAAGUGACGAUAGCAUCAUUAUAUGCACCAAAUGAGGCUCAAUUCUCCUUUCUCAACAAAGCCAUAAAAAAAAUCUCCUCACUAAAACAAGGACAUGUUAUAAUUUGCGGUGACUGCAACUGUACACUAGACCCUACAUUAGAUGUUCAACGUGCCAACGAUAAAAAGCCUAACAAACUAACCAUCCACAACAGCAAAUCAUUCUCCAAUCUUAUUUUUUCGCACUAUCUCUAUGAUACAUGGAAAAACCUAUUCCCAGCUGCUAAGGAUUUCACUUACUUCUCCCCGGUCCACUUAACAUAUACACGAAUAGAUAUCUGCUUGAUAGAUAAAUCCACAUUGCCUCAUCUUUUAGAUCAAAUGAUAGGGACCAGAACAUGGUCAGAUCAUGCCCCAAUAACUAUCACAAUAGCAGUGCCUUACCCAACGAGAGGCCGAGGCAAAUGGAGAUUAAACAAAUCCAUUCUUGACACACCUUCAAAUUUAGAGAAGACUGCCUGCGAACUGCAAAACUAUUUCGAAAUCAACACUACAAAUGAUACAUCAAUAGAAACCCAAUGGCUCGCUCAUAAAGCGGUGAUCAGAGGUGAAUUUAUCAAAAUAGGAUCAAUCAACAAGAAGAAAUCUCAUAACCUACAACGAAAGUUGCUUCAGAAACUCACGACACUGGAAAACGUCAACAAAUUAACCCCUUCCCGUACCAUGACGAAACAAAUAAAGGAAACGCGCGACGAGAUACUAAAAAUUAAAGUCAAAGAAUUCACCACCAACGCAGCUAGACUUCAACGUCACUAUUAUGGCAUGGGCAAUAAGGCCGGAAAAUUGCUAGCAAACCAACUGAAAUCCAAAUAUCUUCAAACGAAAAUCCCAUAUAUUCUCUCAAAAUCACAGAUAAAAAUAUAUAAUCCUACCGACAUAGUGAAUGAACUAGCAUCUUUCUAUGAGGAACUAUACAACCUAGACGCAAACGAGAACACGCACACUCCAGACAAAACAGACAUUCUAACUUAUCUAGAAAAAAUACAACUGCCAAAAAUUUCACAACAACAAAAUAACACGCUUACUGCCCCGUUCACGGAAUCAGAAGUAGCUGCGGCUAUUAAAUCUCUCCCCAGGCACAAAGCCCCAGGCCCAGACGGUCUCCCGAAUUACUAUUAUCUCAAAUUAGAACCAUACCUAUCCCCGCACAUAACCAAACUUUUUAAUAAAAUAAAAGAAACUGGCCACUUCCCUAGAACUAUGCUGGAAGCGUACAUCAUUACCCUACCCAAGCCGAAUAAACCACCCACUACCUGUGGCAAUCUAAGACCAAUUUCGCUAUUAAAUGCCGAUGUGAAACUCUAUGCCAAACUUAUAGCCACAAGAUUGAAACCCUUGCUGUCUACCUUGGUCUCGGAAGAACAAGCAGGCUUCGUGCCUGGCAAGCAAGUGGGAGACAACACCAGAUUUUGCAUGGACCUCAUCGACUGGGCAACUCGUCAACGUAUGUCCGGGGUCUUAAUGGCCUUGGACGCAGAAAAGGCUUUCGAUCGCCUAAAUUGGACGUACAUGGAAACUGUUCUACAAGCUUAUGGAUUCUCGGAAUCCUUCAUCACGAGCAUUAUGGCCCUUUACUCCGCGCCAUCGGCGAAAGUACUGAACUCAGGAUUCCUAUCUAAGAGCUUUGACAUCUCCAAUGGUACGAGACAAGGGUGUCCCCUAUCCCCCCUCAUAUUUAUCUUAUGUUUAGAGCCUCUCAUUCGAACAAUCAAACAAGACCCCUUACUGCCAGGCUUUACCACACCAGCAGGGGAAAAGAAGCUUGCUUUAUUUGCAGACGAUGUUAUUCUUUUUUUAGCAAAUCCUAGAUGUGCCAUUCCCCAUCUCAUGUAUACUCUUGCCUCAUAUGGUAACUUGUCAUUUUAUAAAAAUAACAUCAGCAAAACACAAAUACUCCCUCUGAACCUCGAACCCCAGGUCACAACCGAUUUGAAAUUACAAUUCCCCUUUGAUUGGCGCAAGACUUCCGUUACAUAUUUAGGCAUCAAACUUACGCUAUCACACUCUCAAACUAUAAAAGAAAAUCAUGAGGCAGUCCUACUGAAAAUAUCCAACCAAUUGAAAUCCUGGGAUAAUUUGAACACUUCUUGGAUAGGAAGAGUGAAUUCGGUUAAAAUGAUGGCGCUCCCUCAUAUUCUAUAUCUUUUUAGAACACUGCCCAUCACUCUUCCCAAAUCAAUUCUUACGAAAUUCCAAUCAACUAUCAACGCGCACAUUUGGAAAAGAAAACCUCAGAGAGUCGCUACUCACUCCCUAUGGAACCCCAUCCAUCAGGGUGGCCUGAGCGUUCCCAAUAUCACAAACUACUACAAAGCAUCCACGCUAGCACAGAGCCUGGACAUUAUGUCAGAGAAAGCCAGCCCAAUUUGGCUUAAACUUGAACAAGCAUGUAGCCAACUCCAUUCCCUAUCUGACACUAUGUGGGCUACAAAAAAAAAAUGCCCUACCCACCCACCAUUGCCAUGCACAAAAUUUCUUCUGAACUCUUGGAAAGCAUGGAGCUCGAACCUCUGUUCCAAUCAAGAAUUUCUCUACUUGGCACCAUUACGAGUCCUGUCUACAAUAUCACCAGACUUGUCGAUAAUGCACUGGCGUCAUCAAGGCUUAACCCAUGUUUACUCCUUGUAUAACUCCAAGGGCCUUCGCACAUUCCCUGACUUACAAGUCUCUCAUAACCUACCACAUAGGGAUAUCUUCCUCUACUUGAGAGUCAAGCAUAUAUUGCACACUGCAAAUAUUAAAUAUCAAGACCCAUCAACACUUAGCUCAAUAGGCCACUCUUGCUACAACAUAAGCACAACUCGCAACCCGCCGAAAUUCCUCUCAUUGUGCUACCUAGCCCAAUUAAACAUGUCCAAGGAAACUAAAUUACCUUAUAUGCUAAACUGGGAAAAAGACUUGGGUACAGAGUUCCAUCUCAAGGACUGGCUAUCUGCGAUAGCAACUACCAAAAAAUCCACCAAAUGUGUUAAUCUAUGGGAAGCAUACUUUAAGGUACUAAUGAGAUGGUAUUUAGUGCCCGAUAGGUUGAGCAAAAUAUACCUAACGGCUGCUCCUACAUGCUGGAGGUGCAAUAGUGGAAGGGGCACAAUAUUACACAUUUUCUGGGAAUGCCCACACCUGGGUACUUUUUGGACCUACGUGAAGAACGUCAUACACUCCAUCUCCGGGUUACAACUCUCCCUACGUCCUGACUUUUACUUGCUUCAUCUAAUACCGAACAUGAACCAACUCCCCUCGACGGCAGCUGUACUUAAUACUCUGAUUGCGGCAAAAUUAUGCAUUGCGUCUCAUUGGAAGAGUGACUUUAUCCCAUCAGCAAAAGAACUGCUUAACAGAAUAAACACUACGUACUGCUAUGAAAAGGAAUGGGCAAUAAAAGGGAACAUGACCAAAUUCAACGGACAAUGGAAAGGAUGGGAAACCACGUACAAACACCGCAUCGACUCAGAAUAAAUUCCGUCUCUAGGAUGAAAGGCACUCUCACACUACAUUUAAGGUCGCUCGGAUGUGAGGGUCUCAUGUCUCAUGUCCCUUGCCUCUUGUCUCUUGUUUCUUACCAUCUCUGACCUAACAUCUCUUUCGCUCCUCUCCUCUCUCCCUCCUCUCCUUUCUCUACUCUCUCCUUUAUUCCCCUGUCCCUCCUCCUCGCCUUCCCCGCCCCCCUUCCUUUACAUCUCACCCUUGUUCAUUAUCUUCCCUCUACCUCUUCUACAUCAACUCCUCUAACACUCCAUAAUGACUAAUCUAAAGGGCCAUCGACUAAGCAAAUGCACAAUGGAUGGCGAGGUUCUGUGGCUGGACUGACAGUCCUCACGCGUAUAUAUGAUAUUCACCAGAACGCACCAGUAGGCAAUAUUUUAGUCAAACUAUUUAAAUCUAAAACAUGGAAUGUCUGGAGACAAAUUCCCCUAUCAGAGGCUCCCUCCCACCUUCUUUAUGACCACAAAGCCAAUAUUAACACAUUUUGAACCAGGUACAGUAAACUAAGUACAGCUCUGACUCUCCGUAGCCCCUGACCUGGUCUACCACCCCAGCAUACAGACGCUCAUUUACCGCCACUAGGAGAAUCACACGCACUCGAGUAAGAGCCAUUAACAUUAAUCAACGGUCCCUCUAGCACCUGUACCUCAACUCAAUCUAGCGUCAUAGGACCUUAAAGGUGAUAUAUAUGUCAUUCUGAAUGUGUUUAAGCAUGUUGGAUCAGUCUAUUCCACUCUAGUCCUGCCAUGUCCGAAUCAUUGCUGUAAAAACCCGAAGAUGUUACGAUGUUCUCUUUAUGUAUAUUAGAUAACAUGUAUGAAUAUUAUGUACACAUGCAUUUAACUACUGUAUGGUCAUUAUACUAAGAACGCUGGCUGCAUAAUGCCUGUAUGUAUGUACAACCCACCAUGUAAAUGCUCCUGUAAUGAGUGAAAUGUACAAAAUCC
rnacentral:lncRNA from 1 species